AAAUUUUCAUGGUGCCAUCUUUGCGGAUGAUUGUAAAUUUUCUUUUACAAGUACAAUACAAUGAAGUGGUAGACUGGUAGACUCGACUCAACUUGUAGCAGUCGUAACUAAUCAGUAAAAAAUAAAUAUAAAUAAACUUGUAUAUUUCAAGAAGUAAACAGUGUAUGUAAUUAAAAUUCAAAAUUGGCGAACACGAUUACAUUUUCUAUGAUUAUUGGGAGAUAUUCUACCAGCGACAAUGUGUCUUCUCGUGAAUUAUCAUCCCUACUCUAUCUGUGAUAAAAAUGAAGAAAUGGCACAAAAUUUGGAAGGUGAUGUGUCGAUUGAAUGUAGUGAAAGUAUAGCUGAAGUAAACGAUUUGAAAAUGAAAACAGAAGUCGAUCACGGUUAUGAUGAACUCUCUAGUCAAGCUGACGUUGCUGUUCAUGUCGAAAAUGAAUGUAACAUUGCAAAUUUCGUUGAAGUGGAAAACAUCAAGCCCGAGUACUCGGGAGAUUUUGAUAUUCACGAAGUAGAAAUUAUCGCCGAAGAUAUCGAUAAUUCUGGUUUGUUUUACGCGUAUCAGGAAGACAUUGUGACUACAAGUAAUGAAGACAUUAAUGUCACUGUUUCCACCAUCAAAGAAGAAGAAUAUAACGACACAUCUUCACCCGAACCAAACACUUGCAACAGACUUGAUAAUUUUAGUUUAAGUUCCGACCAUUCGUACACUUGCCAUAAAUUUGAUAUCCCCAUCGGCAACGCGAAUAAAAAUAAAACCAAAGACAGAGCUGUUCACUUCUACGAGAAAUUUUGCGGCGAUGCAGAAAUUUCAGACGUAAAUUCGAGUGAUUUCAGUUACGGGAACAAUGUAAAAGAGAACAACUUAGAGGUUUCAGAAAUAGUGUAUGUCAAAGCGGAAAAUGGAGUCGAUAAUAUUCAAGAAAUAACGUUAUUAGUCAAACCUGAAAAUGAUGAUAAAUUAUUAGAUUUUCAAAAUACCUAUAAAGUGAUUGCAAAUGGUGAUAAUCAAGUAAUUGAAUCUUCUUUCAAAGAUAUAGGUAUUCAAAAAAUUGCAUCGGGUAAUGCUGAACAGACCACCGUCUUUCCUUUAAAUUAUAAAAUGUUCAGUAAUAUUGAAAUCGUAUCUAACAACGAUAAAACCGGGGAAUUCAAGAAUGCGUACGCCAAUUGUGGUUCAACUUACGAAAAUGAAUUUGUCGAUUGUGAUGUUUCAACUAGUAUGUCAUUGAACACCGGCGAUUUAUCAGAUAGCAGACCUCCGUAUUCUUACAGCCAACUGAUUUUACAAGCCAUAGGGUCCUCAAAAGAGAAACAGCUCACCUUAAAUGGAAUUUAUUCCUAUAUUACCGAUAAUUAUAAGUUCUACAGAGAAACCGAUGAAAAAGGAUGGAAAAACAGUAUCCGACACAACCUAUCAUUGAACCCACAUUUUUGCCACGUUCCACGUUUACCACUUCCUAAUGAAUUAUCUCGCAAAGGCGGAUAUUGGCGGAUUGAUCCUCUCUACGAGAAUAGAUUGAUUCGAGAAGCCUUCUCAAAAAAGAAGAAAGGUUAUGAGAAUAAAAAAGUAGUGAAAUACAUUGGGUGUAACAAACGGAAAACACUCAAAUUGCCGUCAUAGUCUUAGUGUAAAUACUAUUUAUUCAUAUUAAGUUCCAAUUGUUGCAAUUAUUUUUAUUUUUUCAAUUGUUUGAGAUCUGUAUUAUAUAAUGAGUAUAAAUGCUUUUAAAAAUGAAUACUAAUUUUAAUGAAAUCCCAUUACUGGUAUUUCGUGAAUAAUUCGUUACCAUGAACAAGCGAUGUAAAACUAAGUCUUGAAGAUGUACAGUUUCGCUAAUUAUUUCGUCGAGUCCUACGUCUGAGACUUUUGUACUAUUAUUCUUUUCACCUACACUCGGAAAUUUUUUUACAUUGCAUUGCACAACUUGCAUAUUGAAUUACUAUUCUGCGUGCAGUUUUCAAAUGUAAGUGAUGAUCUCAGUUUCAUAAAUCGUUGAUCUUGUAAUUAUCAUUAUUAUUUUUUUUUUUUUUCGAACAUGAGUGCAUACAUAUUGUGUUUACUUUAAUAUACCUAUGUUUAAAUUGACCUAUAACUCAUCAUUUAAAUUUGUUGUUCGAUGAAAACAUAAAUUUUAAAUAUUUAUAUUAUCUUUUGAUGAUUUGGAAACGAGCUCGUUGACUCAUUCUAAUUUCUAAUGACUGAACAAUUUUUUGGUAUUAAAUACAACUUCUGAAAAUUUUAUAUGAUUUGUUCAAAAUUCAUUGGAAGGAAACGUUUAGAUUUUUUUUUUCAAGUUCUAGAAUUUAUUUUCUACUGCCACACGUUAAAUCUUACAAUAUUUAUUAUUUAAAUUUGUCUAUUACCUACCAAAUGUAUAUUCUGUUUUUAUAUGUUUAGUUGGUUUUGUUUUUGAAUAAUUAUUUAUUAUUCAUCAAAAUAUAUUUUUAUGUUUGUGCCAGCUAUUUGUUCGAUAUAAAAUUUGAAAAUUUUCAAUUAGUCUGGUAAUUGGACAACGAAUUUUCAAGUCGUGAUGGCUUGAUACGAGUAAAUUCACUUUGGUUGAUAUGGUAUUGAGUGUAUUGACGCAUUAAAAUUUUCAACAAGUUGAAAAUAUCAGAGUAUAAGGUUGUAGUUAAGUACCUAUAUAUUUCUAAUGUAAUUGUUCAACAGCGUAUAAAAUACGAAAAAGGAUCGAGUUUAAUUUGGUCUGUAAAGAAGAUGACGAUAUUCUUUAAAAUUUUAGGUAAACAAUUAUGUAGUAUUUAGGUAGGUUUUUGGUGCUGAAAUUCGGCGUUUUCCUGUAACUAAGUACAGUAUCUAUCAGCGAAUGCGCGCGUCUACGUAAGCAAAAAUGAUAAACGUCUUGAAAUUCGAAUUAUUCGCCGAAAUAAAUUUUUCAAUUCAGUUUCCUGAAAAUUCAAUACUAUGCUGUCAUUUUCAAUGACAUAGCAGGUAAUUAUAGGGACGAUGUUUGUUAUCACAUAAUUACGUCUAGUUGGAGGGGAUUUCGACGGAUAGAAACUCAAGUGUUGGGUGGUUUCACUUUCAGUGUUUCUGGUUUCUGUAUAGUAAAUUGGUGUUUGGUUGAAAAUUUAAUGUUAAGUACAUGAUUUCAUGUAUAAUUCAUACAAGUUUUCAUAGUUUAAAAUAUCACUUGAAUUUUGGAAAAUUAGUGGCAAGAACCAUGGUUUAUCAAACCGGGAACCAAUUUUCGGAUGAUUUUUUUUUUCGUCAGUUGUUCGAUAGAGAAAGUUGUACAUACACGUAUCUUUUAGCUGAUACCAACUCCAAAGAAGCUGUGAUAAUCGACCCUGUCCUUGAGUUAGCCGAACGAGAUGCGCAACAAAUUAGAGAUUUACAAUUGAACUUAGUUUACUGCAGUUAGUGUACAUUAUGUACCUAUUAAAAAAUUUGAAGUCA